UAUUGUUGCUUGUUUAUAUCUUGGUUCUGAUGGAGAUUUUACAAAGGGCUGAGAGAAGCUGGAUCUUUCUUAUUCGUCCUUCCUCCUUUUCAUUUUCUCUACAACUGAAAUUUGGAAGAACUUAAUAUGGAACCAUACAUGAGUUAAGCUUAUGGACAAAUGUUUAUUUCGGGAUAAUGAUGCUGCUGAUGCUAGAUGGUUUCAUAAAUGAGGUUUGGGUAAUUAAACUUUAUGUUAGUGGUGAUUAUGAUAUAACUGGUAUCCUGGCAAGUUAGAGAUGCUUGUCGCUACACAACUUAUACCAUCCAUACUGCUGAAUGCUAGAUAUAGUUACUGCUAGGAUAAGCAGUUCAUACUAUUUAAACCCAAAAUGACGAACUACGGUCGUGCUUGAUCCCUUCGAGCAACGGAGAGGAUACGUAGGCAGCCGCUAUGUGAUUCAACACAACUUUACGAAGUUGUUCAUAUCAUCUGAAAGUUUUGGUUACUGCUUUGCAGUUCAUAUCUUCUGUUCAGAGAUGAUUGCAAUAUUGGCAAGUAUAUAUCAUUGGCAACUGGCCAAUAAUGGCCGGUAACCAGAACUACCUUAAUUCUGGCAACUGACCGUCUAUUAUUUUGGGCAAUUGUCCUGUGUUAAUUUUGGCAACUGGCCGUCUGUUAUUUUUGGGCAAUUGGCCUGUGUUAAUUUUGGCAACUGGCCGUCUAUUAUUUUUGGGCAAUUGGCCUUUGAUAAAUUUGGCAACUGGCCGGCUGUUAAUUUUUGGCAAUUGGCCACCUUGUAUUUUCGGCAAUUGGCCGUCUCUGAUUUUGCAAUUGGCCAUCUGUAAUUUCGUCAACUGGCCGACUCUAUAUUUUUUUGGAAAUUGGAACUCUUGUCGAAUUUUAUGAGUAUUAUGGUAUGGGACA